UAGGACCUCGCUGCUAAUGCU
rnacentral:piRNA from 1 species